UUAGAUCACCGAAGUCAAGCACCAUUGGGCGCGGUCAGUACUUGGGUGGGUGACCACCUGGGAACACCGCGUGCCGUU